rfam:Methylocella silvestris BL2, complete genome.
GACGUAGGCGGCUAGGGUUCCGAUCGCUUUUUUGCGGUGCUGGUCCGAGAGCUGCGAUCCAGCUGGGAGAAAUCGGCUGGAGGCACGGCGGGACAAAAGCCCGGGAGAC